rnacentral:rRNA from 1 species
UACGUAGGGUGCGAGCGUUGUCCGGAAUUACUGGGCGUAAAGAGCUCGUAGGUGGUUUGUCGCGUUGUCCGUGAAAACUCACAGCUCAACUGUGGGCGUGCGGGCGAUACGGGCAGACUAGAGUACUGCAGGGGAGACUGGAAUUCCUGGUGUAGCGGUGGAAUGCGCAGAUAUCAGGAGGAACACCGGUGGCGAAAGCGGCUCCCUGGCCCGAUACUGACGCUCAUGUACGAAAGCGUGGGGAGCAAACAGG